AUAUAUUCAAAAACUGCAACCAACCCUGACUUUUCAAUCUCCCAAGUAAAAAAAAGUAGCUUUGUUUCAUAAAUAUAGUGUUUUAAUUGAUUGUUGUGUGUGUAUAAAUACAAGUAGACAGGUUGAAGUAGGUCAGCCGCCACAGAAACUACCACAGGAACCUAGCUUGUUGACGGACUGAAAAUAUUAGAAAGGUGGUGGUGCAACAUCAAUGUGCUGGAGAGGAAAGAUGACCUAGUGCUUUUUAACAAAAGAUUAACAUCUCCGACCGUUGUAAAAGCUCAGUUUGGAGUUGAGUGGGAACAGUACGUUGUUCAACAUGAUUUUUACUAUUAUUCUCAUGGAACAUUUUUAAGGGAACUCUAAACUUUUUGUAUGCGGUACAUAAAGUUUAGUGUGAGUGGCUGUAUGACAAGUUUUUGGUCAUGGUGGUUCUCCAAUGUCAACGGUGAUUCGAAAA